rnacentral:lncRNA from 1 species
CAGUAUCCAUUUGGCGAAUUGAGAAGUCACUGCGAGAGAGAAAGAUAGAGGUAUUUUUCUUUAAGUUUUCAAUCUUUGAUUAAACGAUCGGAAGGUGAUUUUAACUCCGAUUUCUCCCAAUUUUGUAGGGUAAGUUCCUGACAUCUCCCUCUACAUUUCUGUUGGUGUUGAUCUGUAUUUUAUGCUAUCAAUAUAUGUUAUUUGAGAUAUUCAUUUAUUAAAGAAAUAGAUAUUAGAUCUAUUAUUAUAAGCCAAGAUUGUUGAGAAUCUUGAUGUUGUUAGCCUCUAGUGUUAUAAGAAAAAUUUGUGCUAUAAUCCCAAUUUAUAUCGGACUAUGGUCUCGUGGUUUUUCUCGAUUUGGGUUUUCCACAUAAAAAUUGGUGUUUCUUGUGGUUGAUUUAUUGCUUUAGAUUUGUUGGUUUAUUUUUCUACCUAUUUGUUUGUAGUGCAUAUCUUAUUUUAAUCACAUAAAGAGAGAAAAAGUUUUUUUUCUACUUAAUUGGCAGUUGCUUUUGUGAGUCUCUUUCCCAGCUCCUUCGAUAGUUAUGAGUUUGGAUGGAAUCCCUACAUUUUCAAUGUGAUGUUCUAAGCCUAGGCUUCUAAUGAGUGGCUGAACUUGGGAUUUCCGGAGAAUGUAAUUAUGAGAAGAAAGCUUAAUAGAGAUGAGGCUAGCACAAUGAUAAAAGGUCUCAAAGGUUAAUUUCGGCUCAAUUUGGUCUUUUUUCAGCCGUAACUUUAAUACCAUUUAGAAACCAAAGUUUUUAUAUUUGAAAAGUAUUAUAUUCACUUAUAUUUUUACAAGAGGCUACAAGACUUUAUGUAUUGCAAUUUCUAUACAGAUAAAAGGAAGUUCUGUUAAUACAGCGUGAUUUGAAGCAUGAUUUACGGGCCAUUGCUUGAUUUUGGCAAAUCUUGAUCGGGUUUAAUGCUUGCAUUCCUAUCAAAAGUAUACCAAGAAUUGCAUUUUAAAAAAUUGUGAGCCACUUCGGCCUUGGUCGGAGUGGUGGGCUGCUGCCCUCACAAGCAUUGUGAGGGCAGCGGUUCAAGCCCCCACAAAAGCAUUUGUGGGGGCUAACGUGCUUAUUUGUUUAAUAUUUCAAAAAUUUCCUCUCUCUCGUGCAAUACGAGUGGAGUAUGGACAUCCCUCUUCUGUAAGGGAUUAUUUGUCUGGGCAUGUACUUCACAGAAUUCAAUGUAAUAAUAUAAGUCCCAAUCAUGUAUUUCUGAUUAUAAAUAUCAGUGUAAUAUAUCUGCUAUAAUAGCAGUUGUAAAUAUCUGUGUAAUGCAGUAAUAUGAUGAUUAAUCAGUAUUCAAAAAAAAAAAAAAUUGUGAAGCCCAACAAUGAAUUUUGGGUAUAAUUUUACACACUUCUAUCUCAACAAUGUUGAUAACAAUAGCUAUUUUAAAAGCCCAAUAAUGAUAAGUGUCUCUUGUUCCAACAUUUUUCAAAGCUUGCCCAUAUAAUUAUUAUGAUUGAGAUAUUUACACUUUAAUAAUUAUUUUGUACACGAAUAUUUUUAUAAAAAAAAUUACGAAAAUACCCAUAAUUUAAAUUACUAUUAAAGACAAUUUAUUAUGAUUAACUAUAACAUUAUUAAAAUUAAUCAAUUUAGUACACUCAAUUAACAUUCAAUUCUCUUAACUUUAAACCCUAUAUAUUUUCUUCCCAACAACUUAAACAAAUAUUUAGAAAAUAUCAAUAAUUGAAGGAAAAAAAUUGGGAGAGGUUAGAGACAAAGUUCACGUACCAUCAUGGAGAUGGCUACGUUUGUUACUUCAUAUUCUUUAAAAAAAUUUUGAGAACAAGUUACAGCAAAAGCAAUCAAAUUAAUUUAUUUUAUUCAACGGUCUAAACUCAAUGUGUCUAAAAUUCAUAUGUCUAAAAUAUUUUUACUUUAUAAUUUACUCGUAUUUUCUAUGCUGCAAUGUAGAAAGUACAAUUAUUUAUAAUUUUCGAUACUACUUUCAUGCCUCCUUUUUAUUUUUUAUUUUUUUUUUUGUCUAAUUGUCUUAUUUGACAGGUUUGCUCUCUUGGCUCUCCUGUUUAAGCUUUGCCAAGAUUUGUAUACAAGAAAAAGAAAAAGAAAAAAACUACAAGGAUUGAACUUGAUGUAUCUCCAAGCCAUUAAUUGAUCAAUUCCUUUAAACUUUAUUGGGUGUUUUCAUCUGCUGGUAUUGAUAAUUAAUAAUAACUUUUUGGGUGAAACUAAUCGAACCUGAACUUGAAGCUCAGGCCAAAACCAGCAACUGGAUAUAUGGUGACUAACAUUUGGUUGAUUUGAAAUCAUUGGAGCCAACCAUUUUUAUUAUAUUGAUUAAUUCAGCAGUAGUUGAGGUAAGUAUAUUGAUCUUUUUUUUUUUUGGUAGUAAUAUAAUAAUUGAUUAUCUAAUAAAUAAUAAAUAAAUAAUUUUUUUUGAGAGUAUAGAGUAAAUAAAGAUAAUUAAUUUAGAAUAUUUAAAUAAGGACUUUUUUAGCAUUUAAGGAGUAUGUAAGUAGAAUUCAAUUUUUUAAUUUAAAAUUAAUAGAAGAGUCUACAAAGAAAUAGAAUGUUGAGAAUAAUUUUUAGAAUGCAAAUGGCCUCACCAAAUUAUUAAACAGAUUAAUUACUCAUAGCAGUCUAGCUCUUUAUGCGAAGUAAAUCCUAAUAAAUCAUAAGUUAAAGAAAUAAAAAGGCUAGAUAUUUUAGAUCUACAUUGUGAGAAAUAAAAAAUCAUCUAAUCUGAAAACAAUCACGAGAAAUUACCAACGCUACACUCUAUGUAUGAACUUUCAAAGAAAUCCCAUGACCAAAAGCCCCAAGUUAGAUGAACGGUGCCUGGAGCAAAAUUUGUAAUCUGUAUAACUUUCAGAGCAAGCAAUAAAAAUCAAUAUGGAUUAAAAGAAAUGGCAUGAUGAAACAAGCAGAUAUAUAAAAAUUUCCCAGUAUAGUUGACAUUGGUUUUCUCCCUCUGCUCGUACAUGCCGUCGUUAAGCCAUUCAAUUUUAGUGUUAUAAAUCACGAGAACUCUAACCUUUUUUUUAACCCUUCUUGGAUUUUGAUUAGGAAGGGCCCCC